rnacentral:misc_RNA from 1 species
UAAAAUUGACCAUCAGCGUCAAUCUUGAUUCUUGAACUUGGUGGGGAUUUUUCAUUUUGUGCCUUCUGCCAUCUUCAAACGGGAUUCAACUUCUGCAAGCAAGACCUAUUGCAUCAACUGGUGACUUACAGCAGCAGUGCUUCUUCGAUGGAUUCAUGCCCAAUGUCCUUCGCACUUUACCAACACAACCAAACUCGCAAAAUAACUAUAGAUUUACAAAA